GAUGAAGAACGCAGCGAAAUGCGAUAAGUAAUGUGAAUUGCAGAAUUCAGUGAAUCAUCGAAUCUUUGAACGCACAUUGCGCCCGCCAGUAUUCUGGCGGGCAUGCCUGUUCGAGCGUCAUUUCAACCCUCAAGCCCCCGGGCUUGGUGUUGGGGAUCGGCAAAACGGCCUCGCCAGAGGACGCGCCGGCCCCUAAAUCUAGUGGCGGUCUCGCUGCAGCCUCCAUUGCGUAGUAGCUAACACCUCGCAACUGGAACGCGGCGCGGCCAAGCCGUUAAACCCCCCAACUUUUUCUGAAUGUUGACCUCGGAUCAGGUAGGAAUACCCGCUGAACUUAAGCAUAUCAAUAAGCGGAGGA
rnacentral:misc_RNA from 1 species